GCAGGCAUAGUUUAACAAAAACACUAGAUUGUGAGUCUAGUAAUAGAAACUAAAAUUUCUUGCCUACC
rnacentral:tRNA from 1 species